UCGAGAAUCAUUCGCAAUGGGGGAAACCCUGACGGUGCGACGCCGCGUGGAGGAUGAAGGCCCUCGGGUCGUAAACUCCUGUCAUCAGAGAGUAAUGGCUUACUAUUAAUAGUAGUGGGUCUUGAUAGUAUCUGAAGAGGAAGGGACGGCUAACUUCGUGCCAGCAGCCGCGGUAAUACGAAGGUCCCAAGCGUUGUUCGGAAUCACUGGGCGUAAAGCGUGUGUAGGCGGCGUGGAAAGUCAGAUGUGAAAGCCCGGGGCUCAACCUCGGAACUGCAUCCGAUACUCCCACGCUAGAGUAGUGGAGGGGCAUCUGGAAUUCACGGUGUAGCAGUGAAAUGCGUAGAUAUCGUGAGGAACACUAGUGGCGAAGGCGAGAUGCUGGACACUAACUGACGCUGAGACACGAAGGCCAGGGUAGCGAAAGGGAUUAGAUACCCCCGUAGUCC
rnacentral:rRNA from 1 species